CGGCGUAGUAUGGAAUGGAGUUCCUUAGUUGUGAAAAUCCCGGGUGUUGGGCAAGCUUUGGAGACGUCGCGUGACCCGGAGGAAGAACCCUACCGUGACCGAAAGAACCCGUCUUACGGUGGUGUCUCACGUAACACAGACAGGCCGGAAUGUUGCCGUGGAUGACCUAGAAGUCCUGAAACUCCUGACUGCACAUUGGAGUGCCAACGUGAAGCAGGCUAAUGCAUCCCGCUGCAUCCAACAUCUUUAACAGCAUUGCAGCUGGGAGUGCUGACAAGCAGAAGCAAAUCUGACGCCAGCGUGGCCUCUAUGGCCAGUUCCAGGAGUAUAACAUUCAAGGGAUGCCUCAGCUCGAGCAGAUACCAGUUAUCUCCUCAGUCAACACCCAGUGUCUCCAC
rnacentral:lncRNA from 1 species